rnacentral:rRNA from 1 species
AUUGAACGCUGGCGGCAUGCCUUACACAUGCAAGUCGAACGGCAGCACGGGGCAACCUGGUGGCGAGUGGCGAACGGGUGAGUAGUGCAUCGGAACGUACCUUUCAGUGGGGGAUAACGUAGCGAAAGUUACGCUAAUACCGCGUAUUCUGUGAGCAGUAAAGCAGGGGAUCGCAAGACCUUGCGCUGAUUGAGCGGCCGAUGUCGGAUUGGCUAGUUGGUGAGGUAAAGGCUCACCAAGGCGACGAUCUGUAGCGGGUCUGAGAGGAUGAUCCGCCACACUGGAACUGAGACACGGUCCAGACUCCUACGGGAGGCAGCAGUGGGGAAUUUUGGACAAUGGGGGCAACCCUGAUCCAGCCAUGCCGCGUGAGUGAAGAAGGCCUUCGGGUUGUAAAGCUCUUUCGGCCGGGAAGAAAUCGCACGGGCUAAUACCCUGUGUGGAUGACGGUACCGGAAUAAGAAGCACCGGCUAACUACGUGCCAGCCGCCGCCGUAA